rnacentral:rRNA from 1 species
AGAGUUUGAUCCUGGCUCAGGAUGAACGCUAGCGGCAGGCUUAACACAUGCAAGUCGAGGGGCAGCAUUCGGGUAGCAAUACCUGAGAUGGCGACCGGCGCACGGGUGCGUAACGCGUAUGCAACCUACCCAUAACAGGGGCAUAACACUGAGAAAUCGGUACUAAUUCCCCAUAACAUUCGAAGAGGCAUCUUUUCGGGUUGAAAACUCCGGUGGUUAUGGAUGGGCAUGCGUUGUAUUAGCUGGUUGGUGAGGUAACGGCUCACCAAGGCGACGAUACAUAGGGGGACUGAGAGGUUAACCCCCCACAUUGGUACUGAGACACGGACCAAACUCCUACGGGAGGCAGCAGUGAGGAAUAUUGGUCAAUGGACGCAAGUCUGAACCAGCCAUGCCGCGUGCAGGAAGACGGCUCUAUGAGUUGUAAACUGCUUUUGUACGAGGGUAAACUCAGAUACGUGUAUCUGACUGAAAGUAUCGUACGAAUAAGGAUCGGCUAACUCCGUGCCAGCAGCCGCGGU